rnacentral:misc_RNA from 1 species
CAAUAUGAAGGCGGGCUGGACAAACCCCCCUAGCUGGGCACUGCUUCACGGCGGUGCGCGGUUUGGGUGGCCGGCCCUGCUGAACUAUUCACCCGUGUCUUUUGCGUACCUCUUGUUUCCUGGGCGGGCUCGCCCGCCACCAGGACCAACCAUAAACCUUUUUGUAAUAGCAAUCCGCGUCAGUAAACAAUGUAAUCAAUUACAACUUUCAACAACGGAUCUCUUGGUUCU